ACCAACAUGCAGCUCUUUGUCCAUGCCCAGGAACUACACACUCUCUAGGUGACUGGCCAGGAGACUGUCACCCAGAUCAAAGCUCAUGUAGCCUCAUUGGAGGGCAUCACUACAGAAGAUCAAGUCCUGCUCCUGGAAUGCACACCCCUAGAGGAUGAGGCUACCCUGGGCCAGUGUGGGGUGGAGGCUCUGAGCACUCUGGAAGUAGCCAGCCACAUGCUUGGAGGUAAAGUCCAUGGUUCCAUGGCCUGUGCCAGGAAAAUAAGAAGUCAGACUUCCAAGGUGGCCAAACAAGACAAGAAGAAGAUGGGCUGGGCUAAGAGCCAUAUGCAGUACAACCGGUGCUUUGUCAAUAUCGUGCCAACUUUUAGCAAGAAGAAGGGCCAUAAUGCCAACUCUUAAGUCCUUUGUAAUCUUGGCUGUCUUUAAUAAAGCCACUUAGCCCAAUCAU